rnacentral:misc_RNA from 1 species
UCCGGCUUAACACCGGCAGUCCCACUAGAGUGCCAAACUUAAUUGGGCAACUAGUAGUAAGGGUUGCGCUCGUUGCGUCACUUAAGACAACAUCUCACGACACGAGCUGACGACAGCCAUGCAGCACCUGUGUCUAGGUUCCCGAAGGCACAGCCUAAUCUCUUAAGCCUUCCUAGCAUGUCAAGAGCAGGUAAGGUUCUUCGCGUUGCAUCGAAUUAAUCCACAUCAUCCACCGCUUGUGCGGGUCCCCGUCAAUUCCUUUGAGUUUUAAUCUUGCGACCGUACUCCCCAGGCGGUCUACUUCUCGCGUUAGCUUCGCUACUAAAGGUCUCCCCCCAACAGCAAGUAGACAUCGUUUAGGGCGUGGACUAC